GCAAGCGGGGCUGGGAAAACUGGACAGCGGCAUGCAGAAAAAUGAACCUGGACCACUUUCUUACACCAUACACAAAAAUAAACUCAAAAUGGAUGAAAGACCUAAAUGUAAGACAGGAAGCCAUCAAAAUCCUCAAGGAGAAAGCAGGCAAAAACCUCUUUGCCCUUGGCCGCAGCAACUUCUUACUCAACAUGUCUCCGGAGGCAAGGGAAACAAAAGCAAAAAUGAACUAUUGGGACCUACCUCAUCAAAAUAAAAAGCUUCUGCACAGCAAAGGAAACAAUCAGCAAAGCUAAAAGGCAACCGACAGAAUGGGAGAAGAUAUUUGCAAAUGACAUAUGAGAUAAAGGAUUAGUAUCCAAAAUCUAUAAAGAACUUAUCAAACUCAACAUCCAAAAAACAAAUAAUCCAGUGAAUAGAUGGGCAAAAGACGUGAAUAGACACUUCUCCAAAGAAGACAUCCAGAUGGCCAACCGACACAUGAAAAAACGCUCAACAUCACUCAUCAGGGAAACAAAUACAAAUCAAAACCACAAUGAGAUACCACCUCACACCUGUCAGAAUGGCUAACAUUAACAACUCAGGUAACAACAGAUGUUGGCAAGGAUGUGGAGAGAGAGGAUCUCUUUUGCACUGCUGGUGGGAAUGCAAGCUGGUGCCGCCACUCUGGAAAACAGUAUGGUGGGUGCCUGAGUGGCUCAGUUGGUUAAAUGGAAAACAGUAUGGAGAUUCCUCAAAAAAUUAAAAAUAGAACUACCCUAUGACCCAGCAAUUGCACUACUAGGUAUUUAUCCAAGGGAUACAGGUGUGCUGUUUCAAAGGGACACAUGCACCCCAAUGUUUAUAGCAGCACUAUCAACAAACAAAAGUAUGGAAACAGCCCAAAUGUCCAUCGAUGGAUAAAUGGAUAAAGAAGAUGUGGUGUAUAAAUAUAUAUAUAUAUACAAUGAAGUAUUA